rnacentral:rRNA from 1 species
AUUGAACGCUGGCGGCAGGCUUAACACAUGCAAGUCGAGCGAGCGGCGGACGGGUGAGUAAUGUCUGGGAAACUGCCUGAUGGAGGGGGAUAACUACUGGAAACGGUACCUAUUCCCGAAUACCAUCAGAUGAUCCCAGAUGGGAUUAGCUAGUAGGUGGGGUAAUGGCUAACCUAGGCCACGAUCCCUAGCUGAUCUGAGAGGAUGACCGGCCACACUGGAACUGAGACACGGUCCAGACUCCUACGGGAGGCAGCAGUGGGGAAUAUUGCACAAUGGGCGCAAGCCUGAUGCAGCCACGCCGCGUGUGUGAAGAAGGCCUUCGGGUUGUAAAGCACUGUCAGCGAGGAGGCGUUACUCGCAGAGGAAGCACCGGCUAACUCCGUGCCAGCAGCCGCGGUAAUUC